GAGAUUAAUAAAAUUAUAAAUACCCUAGUCAACUCCUCUUUCUCCCACAUUAAACCAAAAAAAGCUUUAACCCACUGCUCUCUUUCUCUCUCUCACCGAUCACCAGCCGACACUACCGGUACCAUAUAUCUCUCAAAACACCCUUUUUUUUACUCCAUCUCCUUCAGUGCUUCUCCUCCCUCUCUGUUAAUUAUUUCUUGGAAUAGUCUCCUUCCUCUAGCAAAGUUAUUGUGUCUCACAUUCAGAUCAUUGGACUUGCAUUAUCAUCGCUUGACCCUGAUUACAUCUAUAUCCAAGUGGUUGAUUAAGAGGUGAUUGCUUAGGAAGCCGAAAUAGCUUCUCUCUUGUUUAAAUGUUUUUCUUGCUUGGCAUUUUUUAGUUCCAGAUUGACUAGACGUACAUUAAGUUUACAUUUCAGUUGCCUUUACAAAGUUGUAGUUUGAUCACCCUCAUUUAUUUUGUCGGGGGCAUUUUCACUUCCUUCAAAGUUGUAUUGUAAUAAUUGUUUGGUUAAUAAAUAAAGUAGUCUUCCUUAUUCUAA